rnacentral:rRNA from 1 species
UACGGAGGGGGCGAGCGUUGAUCGGAAUCACUGGGCGUAAAGCGCGCGUAGGCGGUCUAUUAAGUGGGAUGUGAAAUCCCCGGGCUUAACCUGGGAAUUGCAUUUCAAACUGGCCGACUAGAGUACGGUAGAGGGAGGUAGAAUUUCCUGUGUAGCGGUGAAAUGCGUAGAUAUAGGAAGGAAUACCAGUGGCGAAGGCGGCCUCCUGGAUCGAUACUGACGCUGAGGCGCGAAAGCGUGGGGAGCAAACAGG